rnacentral:rRNA from 1 species
GAUCAUGGCUCAGGAUGAACGCUGGCGGCGUGCCUAACACAUGCAAGUCGAACGAAGAGGCGGCAUCAGAAUCCUUCGGGAGGAAGAAGCCGUUUACUGAGUGGCGGACGGGUGAGUAACGCGUGGGCAACCUGCCCAGUACAGGGGGGACAACAGUUGGAAACGACUGCUAAUACCGCAUAAGCCUGUAAUGCCGCAUGGCAUAUCAGGAAAAAACUCCGGUGGUACUGGAUGGGCCCGCGU